ACCAAAUUCUCAACGAUGGAUAUCUUGGUUCCUAUUACGAUGAAGAACGCAGCGAAGUGCGAUAAGCAAUGCGAAUUGCAGAACCGUGAGUCAUCAGAUUUUUGAACGCAACUGGCGCUAGAAGGUUAUCCUUUUAGCAUGAUUGUUUCAGUG
rnacentral:rRNA from 1 species